UCAGACGAUGCGUCAUGCAUAUCAAUAAGCGGAGGAAAAGAAACUAACAAGGAUUCCCUUAGUAACGGCGAGUGAAGCGGGAAGAGCUCAAAUUUGAAAUCUUAAAGGGUUUCCCUUUACGAAUUGUAGUUUAAAGAAGUGUUUUCUGUUAGAGUUUCGGUAAAAGUUCUUUGGAAUAGGGACAUCAUAGAGGGUGAGAAUCCCGUAUUUGACCGUUAUUUCUAGCUUUGUGAUACACUUUCAAAGAGUCGGAUUGUUUGGGAAUGCAGUCCAAAAUGGGUGGUAAAUUUCAUCUAAAGCUAAAUAUUGGCGAGAGACCGAUAGCGAACAAGUACCGUGAGGGAAAGAUGAAAAGAACUUUGAAAAGAGAGUUAAACAGUACGUGAAAUCUGUCAAAAGGGAAGCGUUUGACACCAGUGUUGUUUUCUCGAAAAUCAAUUAAAAAAGGCAGGAUUUUGUGUUGUAUUGACUUUAUCAGCUUUCUGCACUCUUUUCUUGUCUUUUUUUAAUGCACUUUUCGUUUAACAAGUCAACAUCAAUUUCUUUUGUUGUAAAAGGGUCAUUGGAAGGUGGCUUUCUUUUCGGAGAAAGUGUUUAUAGCCUUUGUACCUCUGCAAUCGGAGAGAUUGAGGUCUGCAGCGUAGAUCCUUCGGGGUUAGAUACAUUUGUGCUAAGUUAUAGCCUUUCAUAGACAACUUGUUGACUAUGAUCAGUCAUGUAGCUUACUCGCUUAUGCUAUUUUACCUACGCUUAGGAUGUUGAUCUACAGAGCGAGAGU
rnacentral:rRNA from 1 species